AGCUUAGCGCAGGGGUCCUGCAACCACGUUGCGGGUGAGACAUACCCUUAGAACCUGAUCUGGAUAAUGCCAGCGCAGGGAGCGUGACACCUCCCCUC
rnacentral:ncRNA from 2 species